CCUACGGGAGGCAGCAGUGAGGAAUAUUGGUCAAUGGCCGGAAGGCUGAACCAGCCAUGCCGCGUGAAGGUCAGUGCCCUAUGGGCGUUAAACUUCUUUUGUGCGGGAGCAAUAAUGGUCACGUGUGGCCAGACGAGAGUACCGUACGAAUAAGCAUCGGCUAACUCCGUGCCAGCAGCCGCGGUAAUACGGGGGAUGCAAGCGUUAUCCGGAUUUAUUGGGUUUAAAGGGUGCGUAGGCUGUGAGGUAAGUCAGCGGUGAAAUGCCCCCGCUCAACGGGGUGAAGUGCCAUUGAUACUGCCUGGCUGGAAUGCGGAUGCCGUGGGAGGAAUGUGUGGUGUAGCGGUGAAAUGCAUAGAUAUCACACAGAACACCGAUUGCGAAGGCAUCUCACGAAUCCGCGAUUGACGCUGAUGCACGAAAGCGUGGGUAUCAAACAGGGUUAGAUACCCGAGUAGUC
rnacentral:rRNA from 1 species